rnacentral:rRNA from 1 species
UUUAUGGAGAGUUUGAUCCUGGCUCAGGAUGAACGCUGGCGGCGUGCCUAAUACAUGCAAGUCGAGCGAACGGACGAGAAGCUUGCUUCUCUGAUGUUAGCGGCGGACGGGUGAGUAACACGUGGAUAACCUAACUAUAAGACUGGGAUAACUUCGGGAAACCG